AUGAAGGUUACACAGAUCGGUUGCUAUCUCAAUUCCAAAAACAGUUCCAACACCCAUUACUCUGCAACUGUUUCAUCUUUCAUGUCUCACAUAUUUAUAACCCUAAAUACUUCAUGUUUCUUCUCAUCUUCAUCAACCUCUCGACUGAAACAUGGCCAGACCUUUGGAGAAAAUCGGCUUCCCAAACAGCUUGAGAGCAAGCAAGCAACCAACAUAUUCUUAAGCUGA